rnacentral:misc_RNA from 1 species
UGCGUCAUGCUUGUUUGCCAAUUCCAUGAGAACUUUGAUCCUCCUGAAAGCAACAUUGCUUGGUUUAUGCCCUUUCUCGAUCAUCUGCAGGAAACACUUCUCUGCUUCUGCCAACCUCCCCAAAUCACACAGUAAAUCAAACAACACAUCAGAUACCAAUGAAUAAGAUCCAAAACCUUUCUCCACCAUGUCAUUCCACAACAGUAGAGCCAGAUCCACCCUCUCUUGCGUCUUGAACAACCUGAUCAGAAACAUACAAGACUGCGUAUUAGGCAAGCACCCAACAUCCAUCAUUCUCCUAUACAAACUCCAUGAGCUCC